rnacentral:misc_RNA from 1 species
UCUCCGUAGGUGAACCUGCGGAGGGAUCAUUACCGAGUGAGGGCCCUCGCGGCCCGACCUCCAACCCCAUGUUUUCCGACUCUGUUGCCUCGGGGGCGACCCGGCCUUCGGGCGUCGGGGCCCCCGGUGGACCAUUAACACUGCAUCUGUGCGUCUGAGUGAUUAAAUCAAUCAAUUAAAACUUUCAACAACGGAUCUCUUGGUUCUGGCAUCGAUGAAGAACGCAGC